CAGCCGCCGCGGUAAUACCGGCGGCCCGAGUGGCGGUCACUAUUAUUGGGCUUAAAGCGUCCGUAGCCGGGUUGGGAAGUCCUCCGGGGAAUCUGGCCGCUUAACGGUCAGAAUGCCGGAGGAUACUCCCAGCCUAGGGAGCGGGAGAGGCCGAGGGUAUUCCCGGAGUAGGGGGGAAAUCCUAUAAUCCCGGGAGGACCACCUGUGGCGAAGGCGCUCGGCUGGAACGCGUCCGACGGUGAGGGACGAAGGCCAGGGGAGCAAACCGGAUUAGAUACCCGGGUAGUCCUGGCUGUAAACGAUGCGGACUUUGUGUCGGACAAGCUAUGAGCUUGUCCGGUGCCGGAGGGAAACCGUUAAGUCCGCCGCCUGGGGAGUACGGCCGCAAGGCUGAAACUUAAAGGAAUUGGCGGG
rnacentral:rRNA from 1 species